GGGUUGUGAGGUUAAGCGACUAAGCGUACACGGUGGAUGCCCUGGCAGUCAGAGGCGAUGAAGGACGUGCUAAUCUGCGAAAAGCGUCGGUAAGGUGAUAUGAACCGUUAUAACCGGCGAUGUCCGAAUGGGGAAACCCAGUGCAAUUCGUUGCACUAUCGUUAACUGAAUACAUAGGUUAACGAGGCGAACCGGGGGAACUGAAACAUCUAAGUACCCCGAGGAAAAGAAAUCAACCGAGAUUCCCCCAGUAGCGGCGAGCGAACGGGGAGCAGCCCAGAGUCUGAAUCAGCUUGUGUGUUAGUGGAACGGUCUGGAAAGUCCGACGGUACAGGGUGAUAGUCCCGUACACCAAAAUGCACAGGCUGUGAACUCGAAGAGUAGGGCGGGACACGUGGUAUCCUGUCUGAAUAUGGGGGGACCAUCCUCCAAGGCUAAAUACUCCUGACUGACCGAUAGUGAACCAGUACCGUGAGGGAAAGGCGAAAAGAACCCCGGCGAGGGGAGUGAAAAAGAACCUGAAACCGUGUACGUACAAGCAGUGGGAGCACCUUCGGGUGUGACUGCGUACCUUUUGUAUAAUGGGUCAGCGACUUAUAUUCUGUAGCAAGGUUAACCGUAUAGGGGAGCCGCAGGGAAACCGAGUCUUAACUGGGCGUUAAGUUGCAGGGUAUAGACCCGAAACCCGGUGAUCUAGCCAUGGGCAGGUUGAAGGUUGGGUAACACUAACUGGAGGACCGAACCGACUAAUGUUGAAAAAUUAGCGGAUGACUUGUGGCUGGGGGUGAAAGGCCAAUCAAACCGGGAGAUAGCUGGUUCUCCCCGAAAGCUAUUUAGGUAGCGCCUCGUGAACUCAUCUUCGGGGGUAGAGCACUGUUUCGGCUAGGGGGUCAUCCCGACUUACCAACCCGAUGCAAACUACGAAUACCGAAGAAUGUUAUCACGGGAGACACACGGCGGGUGCUAACGUCCGUCGUGAAGAGGGAAACAACCCAGACCGCCAGCUAAGGUCCCAAAGUCAUGGUUAAGUGGGAAACGAUGUGGGAAGGCACAGACAGCCAGGAUGUUGGCUUAGAAGCAGCCAUCAUUUAAAGAAAGCGUAAUAGCUCACUGGUCGAGUCGGCCUGCGCGGAAGAUGUAACGGGGCUAAACCAUGCACCGAAGCUGCGGCAGCGACACUAUGUGUUGUUGGGUAGGGGAGCGUUCUGUAAGCCUGCGAAGGUGACCUGUGAGGGUUGCUGGAGGUAUCAGAAGUGCGAAUGCUGACAUAAGUAACGAUAAAGCGGGUGAAAAGCCCGCUCGCCGGAAGACCAAGGGUUCCUGUCCAACGUUAAUCGGGGCAGGGUGAGUCGACCCCUAAGGCGAGGCCGAAAGGCGUAGUCGAUGGGAAACAGGUUAAUAUUCCUGUACUUGGUGUUACUGCGAAGGGGGGACGGAGAAGGCUAUGUUAGCCGGGCGACGGUUGUCCCGGUUUAAGCAUGUAGGCUGGUUAUCCAGGCAAAUCCGGAUAAUCAAGGCUGAGGUGUGAUGACGAGGCACUACGGUGCUGAAGUAACAAAUGCCCUGCUUCCAGGAAAAGCCUCUAAGCAUCAGGUAACAUCAAAUCGUACCCCAAACCGACACAGGUGGUCAGGUAGAGAAUACCAAGGCGCUUGAGAGAACUCGGGUGAAGGAACUAGGCAAAAUGGUGCCGUAACUUCGGGAGAAGGCACGCUGGUGUGUAGGUGAAGUCCCUGCGGAUGGAGCUGAGACCAGUCGAAGAUACCAGCUGGCUGCAACUGUUUAUUAAAAACACAGCACUGUGCAAACACGAAAGUGGACGUAUACGGUGUGACGCCUGCCCGGUGCCGGAAGGUUAAUUGAUGGGGUUAUCCGUAAGGAGAAGCUCUUGAUCGAAGCCCCGGUAAACGGCGGCCGUAACUAUAACGGUCCUAAGGUAGCGAAAUUCCUUGUCGGGUAAGUUCCGACCUGCACGAAUGGCGUAAUGAUGGCCAGGCUGUCUCCACCCGAGACUCAGUGAAAUUGAACUCGCUGUGAAGAUGCAGUGUACCCGCGGCAAGACGGAAAGACCCCGUGAACCUUUACUAUAGCUUGACACUGAACAUUGAGCCUUGAUGUGUAGGAUAGGUGGGAGGCUUUGAAGCGUGGACGCCAGUCUGCGUGGAGCCAACCUUGAAAUACCACCCUUUAAUGUUUGAUGUUCUAACGUUGGCCCCUUACCGGGGUUGCGGACAGUGUCUGGUGGGUAGUUUGACUGGGGCGGUCUCCUCCCAAAGCGUAACGGAGGAGCACGAAGGUUAGCUAAUCCUGGUCGGACAUCAGGAGGUUAGUGCAAUGGCAUAAGCUAGCUUGACUGCGAGCGUGACGGCGCGAGCAGGUGCGAAAGCAGGUCAUAGUGAUCCGGUGGUUCUGAAUGGAAGGGCCAUCGCUCAACGGAUAAAAGGUACUCCGGGGAUAACAGGCUGAUACCGCCCAAGAGUUCAUAUCGACGGCGGUGUUUGGCACCUCGAUGUCGGCUCAUCACAUCCUGGGGCUGAAGUAGGUCCCAAGGGUAUGGCUGUUCGCCAUUUAAAGUGGUACGCGAGCUGGGUUUAGAACGUCGUGAGACAGUUCGGUCCCUAUCUGCCGUGGGCGCUGGAGAAUUGAGGGGGGCUGCUCCUAGUACGAGAGGACCGGAGUGGACGCAUCACUGGUGUUCGGGUUGUCAUGCCAAUGGCACUGCCCGGUAGCUAAAUGCGGAAGAGAUAAGUGCUGAAAGCAUCUAAGCACGAAACUUGCCCCGAGAUGAGUUCUCCCUGAGACUUUAAGUCUCCUGAAGGAACGUU
rnacentral:rRNA from 1 species